rnacentral:antisense_RNA from 1 species
AGGAGCGAGCUUGCUCGCGAAGAGCGCAAGAGCGCUGCGGUAAACCAGAAGCGCUGCGUAAUCGUUAGCGACCUUCGCGAGCAAGCUCGCUCCU